rnacentral:rRNA from 1 species
CCUACGGGUGGCAGCAGUGAGGAAUAUUGGUCAAUGGGCGCUAGCCUGAACCAGCCAAGUCGCGUGAGGGAAGACGGUCCUAUGGGUUGUAAACCUCUUUUGUCUGGGAGUAAAAUGCACCACGUAUGCUGCUUCGCGUGUACCCUAUGAAUAAGGAUCGGCUAACUCCGUGCCAGCAGCCGCGGUAAUACGGGGGAUUCGAGCGUUAUCCGGAUUUAUUGGGUUUAAAGGGAGCGUAGGCGGAAGAUAAAGUCAGUGGUAAAAUUUUGGGGCUCAACCCAUUAGAGCCGUUGAUACUGGUAUCCUUGAGUGAGGGAGAGGUAUGCGGAAUGCGUGGUGUAGCGGUGAAAUGCAUAGAUAUCACGAAGAACUCCGAUUGCGAAGGCAGCAUACCGGAGCUUAACUGACGCUGAUGCACGAAAGUGUGGGUAUCGAACAGGAUUAGAUACCCUUGUAGUC